UACGUAGGGGGCGAGCGUUGUCCGGAAUCAUUGGGCGUAAAGCGCGUGUAGGCGGCCCGGAAAGUCUGGUGUGAAAACUUGAGGCUCAACCUCAAGCUGUCACUGGAUACUAUCGGGCUUGAGUCCGGAAGAGGAGAGUGGAAUUCCUGGUGUAGCGGUGGAAUGCGCAGAUAUCAGGAGGAACACCUGAGGUGAAGACGGGUUGCUGGGCUGACACUGACGCUGAGGCGCGAAAGCUAGGGGAGCAAACGGG
rnacentral:rRNA from 1 species